GUUUUGUGGUGUAGUAGUAGUAGCACGCGUCUCCGGUAUGGACGAAACACGGGUUCGAUUCCCGCCUGAGGCA